AUGGGGUGAACAAAUGGAAACACCUCCCAUUGUAAAUGAGUUGUAACCUUUAUGAAGGUAGACUGCAUUAGUUUUAGCCAGAUUUUUUUUGUUGCCUUUAUUGGACAUUCAACAGUGAAGAGGCAGAAAGGAAACCAGGGAACGAGAGACAGGAUGGUCAGCAAGUGCAUGGUUGGUGUACAUCAAGAGAACAGUGCAGUAUAGGCCUGAAUGUCCCUACAGUAAAGGUGUCCAGUUGCUCUGUAAGGUUAUGGGAGACAUUUUCCUGGUGUCGUUUGGGUCCACUUAUCUCAUU